UACGUAGGGUGCAAGCGUUAUCCGGAAUUAUUGGGCGUAAAGAGCUCGUAGGCGGUCUGUCGCGUCGGCUGUGAAAUCCCGAGGCUCAACCUCGGGUCUGCAGUCGAUACGGGCAAACUUGAGUGUUGCAGGGGAGACUGGAAUUCCUGGUGUAGCGGUGAAAUGCGCAGAUAUCAGGAGGAACACCGGUGGCGAAGGCGGGUCUCUGGGCAACAACUGACGCUGAGGAGCGAAAGCGUGGGGAGCGAACAGG
rnacentral:rRNA from 1 species